rnacentral:lncRNA from 1 species
GGCAGACAGAAUAUAUGUCUUUAUCGUCGCAUUAGCGUUCCUUCACUUGUCAAAAGCAGCUCUUCCGACCGGAUGUAAAACCAACACAAACGCAUGUCCAGACAAUUCCGCAUGUGACGAUGGCACCGACAAAUGUGUAUGUAACGAUGGUUUCAAGCUGAACAAAGCUACAGACGGAUGCAUUCAGAAAGCCGUACUUGGUGAUACGUGUCAAACAACCUCCGACUGUGCAGAUGUUUCUAACUCGAAAUGUGUUACUACCUGUGUUUGUAAUGACGCGUUCAAAGUAUCGGGUGGAAGCUGCGUAGCUAAAG